AUUGAACGCUGGCGGAAUGCUUUACACAUGCAAGUCGAACGGUAGAGGGGGCAACCCCUCGAGAGUGGCGAACGGGUGAGUAAUAUAUCGGAACGUGCCCAGUCGUGGGGGAUAACGUAGUGAAAGCUUUGCUAAUACCGCAUACGAUCUACGGAUGAAAGCAGGGGACCGCAAGGCCUUGCGCUCAUGGAGCGGCCGAUGGCAGAUUAGGUAGUUGGUGGGAUAAAAGCUUACCAAGCCGACGAUCUGUAGCUGGUCUGAGAGGACGACCAGCCACACUGGGACUGAGACACGGCCCAGACUCCUACGGGAGGCAGCAGUGGGGAAUUUUGGACAAUGGGCGAAAGCCUGAUCCAGCCAUGCCGCGUGCAGGAUGAAGGCCUUCGGGUUGUAAACUGCUUUUGUACGGAACGAAAAGACUCUGGUUAAUACCUGGGGUCCAUGACGGUACCGUAAGAAUAAGCACCGGCUAACUACGUG
rnacentral:rRNA from 1 species